rnacentral:rRNA from 1 species
GACGAACGCUGGCGGCGUGCUUAACACAUGCAAGUCGAACGGAAAGGCCCAGCUUGCUGGGUACUCGAGUGGCGAACGGGUGAGUAACAAGUAGGUGAUUUGCCCUGGACUCUGGGUUAGGCCUGGUCAACUGGGUCUAAUACCGACUAUGUCCUUACUUCGCAUGGUGUUUGGUGGAGAGCAUUUGCGGUUCAGGAUGGGCUCGCGGCCUAUCAGCUUGUCGGUGGGGUAAUGGCCUACCAAGGCGACGACGGGUAGCCGACCUGUGAGGGUGAUCGGCCACACUGGGACUGAGACACGGCCCAGACUCCUACGGGAGGCAGCAGUGGGGAAUAUUGCACAAUGGGCGCAAGCCUGAUGCAGCGACGCCGCGUGAGGGAUGACGGCCUUCGGGUUGUAAACCUCUUUCACCAGGGACGAAGCGUGAGUGACGGUACCUGGAGAAGAAGCACCGGCCAACUACGUG